rnacentral:lncRNA from 1 species
CACAUUAAAAUUAUCGACACUACUUUGUCUGGCCAUGAAUUUUAGCAUCUGCAAACUCGCUGCUGCUUGUGAGUUUAAAUCUUCAAUAAUGUAAGCACAAUCUAUAAAUUCACUGUCACUCAAGCUAAAGACUAAUUACAAAAAUAUAAUAAUAAUAAUAAUAAUAAUAAUAUAACUUAACUACAAGCAAAUUUACUAGAAACAGGGUGACGAUGAAAAACAGAACGAAAAGAAAAAAAAAAUGAAGGAAUCCGAAAUUAAAAAAUGAUUUGAAAAUAUCUACAUAUACACACUGCCGCAAUUAUAUAUAUUUAUAUACACGCACAGAGAAGAGAAAUUACCAUUCCACAGAAACAAGAUAUCACGAGCUAGGGUUUCUGAAAAACGCGAAGAUGUCAGCGGGCUGAAGCGCAAAACCGAUCUGCCUCUGUUUAACGUUUAGGCCAGUUAGGGUUAUGAGAAGGUAUUUAUAGUCUUCAAUAUAUUUUUAAAAAUUGUAGCAAUUAAGAGUUGCUC